AUCCCUUACAAUUUUCUUGGAAGUAAAGCUUGAUUUGCUGGUUUUAGUCAAUCUGAUCAGUAAAUAGUAUAUCUCACUGCAUCCACAUGGAAAUAUCUAGUGAAAAGCUGGACAAGAACCUAGUGCAUGGGUACUGUUGUUUUCUUCUCUCUAAUUAUUUAAAAUGAUCCUUUGUGGUAUGAGUAAUUGUAUCUUCCAUUUCUUUACGUCUGCAAUCAUUGAUUGGAAGCUCAUUUCUGCAGCGGAGGAAUGAUCAUGGUAGACCUACAUAAUUAUGUUAUUUUCGUCCAUUAAAGUGGUGAUCUGAAUUACAUUUUAAAGACUGAUGUCAGAAUUUAUUUCAUAAUCUUUUACUUGCCUUUCUGCCAAGGAUCAUUGUUUUAGGUACUGCACCUGUUUUGCUGAUUUGUUGGACCGGUACUUAUCGGUCAAUACUAGUGUAUAAUAUGUCGGUACACCGGUAUGUAACAGUAUUUUUAGGAGAAAGGAAAAGAGGAAGAAGAGAAAGGAGUAGUGGAGGAACAGAGGAUGAAGGAGGACGAAAGAAGGAAGAAGAGGAAAUGGUGGAGGAAAAAGAAGAAGAAGAAAGGAAGAAGGAAGAGGAGGAGGAGGAGGAUAAGAGGUGGGAGUAUACUUGGGAAGAAGAAGGAAUGCGGUGGCGACGACGGAAGCAUUGAACGUGAGAAGAGGGCUCGCAUUUGUGAGCCCUAAUCACUAUUUUAGGAUUUUUUUCUUUUUUAAUACCAAGUUGGAUGGGCCCCACUGCUAUUUUUUUAAAUUAUUUUUACUGAAGUGGAUCGGACCACUAGAAAUGGGGAUUUUUUUAAUUAUUUUUAUUGGCCCACACAUGGACUAUUAUAUAUCGCCCCUGCAUAUGGAGAGAGCUUGGAAUACAGAAACUUUAACAAUGCACCAAAACCUUCUUUCUUUUUUGAUUUUUCAGAUAUGGGGUCUAGUACUAGAAGCAAAAUGGUCACUGCUAGGAUUAUGAUCUAUUUGGUAUUCAUUCUUAUGGAGGGUUUUCCUCAAAAAUGUUCCUACGGGAAGUUAGGAUGUAAAAUCAGGCCAAUGCCUGAUGCAUGGAUCAGAUGCCGCAAACCUUCAUAGGUAGAUGACUCCCAUAUUUGUGGAUCUGCAAUAUAGAAGAAUGAAUCCCAUAUUUGGCUUUGCCUUCCGUGUUAUUCAUUCUGGUAGAAUUUAUUUCCUCUCUAAAAAAUCUUUCACUCUGGUGACCUCUAUAAGCAUGGGGAAGAAUGUAAUAUCCCCCACUUUUAAAAAUGUAUUAAUAAGGAUUUAUAUGUAAAUUGGGGGACCUAUAUGUAAAUAUAGAAAUUUCAAAGACUAAACUGUUAAGUUGUAAAAAGAAGUAAAUAAAGAAACAGAGAGGAGCGGUGGGGCAUGAGGAGUGAAGAAAAGAAGAAGAAGAGGGAAAAGAAGAGAGGAGGAAGGAGAGAGGAAGAAGAGGGAGAAGAGAAGAAGAAGAAGAAGAGGAGGUGGCUGCAGCGAGGGCUGCAGCGAGGAGCUGUGAGGCGUGGGGAGAAGAAGAGAGGAAGAAGAGGGAGAAGAGAAGAAGAAGAAGAAGAGGAGGUGGCUGCAGCGAGGGCUGCAGCGAGGAGCUGUGAGGCGUGGGGAGAAGAAGAGAGGAAGAAGAGGGAGAAGAGAAGAAGAAGAAGAAGAGGAGGUGGCUGCAGCGAGGGCUGCAGCGAGGAGCUGUGAGGCGUGGGGAGAAGAAGAGAGGAAGAAGAGGGAGAAGAGAAGAAGAAGAAGAAGAAGAAGAAGAAGAAGAGAGGAGGAUAGCUGCGGCAAGGCUGCAGCGAGGAGGUGUGUGGCUUUGGGGAGGAAAAGGGAAGAGGAGAAGAAGAGAAGGAGAAGAAGAGGGAAAAGAGAGGCAGCUGCAGCAGCCAGGGCUGCAGCACCUCUGUUUCCCGCAGGUGGAAACAGAGGAGAGGAUGUGUGGGGCGUUGAGGAUGAAAAGGGAAGAAGAAGAAGAAGAAGAAGAAGAAGAAGAAGAAGAAGAUAGCUGCGGCAAGGCUGCAGCGAGGAGAUGUGUGGCCUUGGGGAGGAAAAGGGAAGAGGGGAAGAGGAGAAGAAGAAGAAGAGGAAGAGAAAGAGGUGUGAUACCUCUGUUUCCUGCAGAGUAAACAGAGGAGAGGGUGUGUGUGACGCCGGGGAAGAAGGGGCUGCAGCUGCGGCGAUGGCAGCUGCAGCUGGAAGAGAAGAAGAAGAGGAAGAUGAGCAGGGGAGGAGGGAGAGGUUGCGGCCGUGGCUGCGGCCGCGACUGCAGCAGUUGCAGCGGGGAGAGAAGAAGAAGAAAGGAAGGAGAAGGAAGAGGAGAAGGGAAAGAAGUAGCUGCGGCUGCGGUUGUGGCAGCUGCAGCUAUGGCAGGGAAAGAGGAAGAGAAAAAGGAAAGGAAGAAGAAGAGAAAGGGAAGGAGAGGAAGAAGAGAGGAAGAGGAGAAGGGGCUGCGGCUGCGGCGAUGGCAGCUGCAGCUGUGGCUGGGAAAGAAGAGAAGGAAAGGAAGAAGAAGAGAAAGGGAAGGAGAGGAAGAAGAGAGGAAGAGGAGAAGGGGUGGCAGCUGCGGCAGUGGCAGCUGCAGUUGGAAGAGAAGUAGGAGAGGAAAUAGAGUAGCAGAGGAAGAAGAGGCUGCGGUUGUGGUCGCUGCGGCCAUGGCUGCGACUGCGACUGCGGCAGUUGCAGCUGGGAAAAAAAGGAAAGGAAAGGGGGAAAAAGGGGCUGCGGACGGGAUUGCGGUCGCAGCGGCAGCGACUGCGUAUGCAGCAAUUAUGUCUGCGAGAGAAGGGAGGAAGGAAGGUAGUGCGGUGGAAGGGGCUGCGAUUGUGGCAGCGGCAGCGGCGGCAGCUGUGGCAGCUGCGUUUGGGAAAGAAAAAGAAGGAAUGAGAGUAAGAGAGAGCAGGUGACUGUGCCUCGAUGUUCGACACGUGAUGUAGUUACGAAGAAAGGAAGAAAACGGGAGCACAAAACGAAACAGAGAGAGGACACGGAGGAAAAGUAGAAAGAUUGGACUGGCACCUUCCUUGGAUAUUCAGAUCAAAAUAUUUGAAAGGUCAGCUUGUUACUCUUCGAGAUGUUUGAUUUGGGCUGAGGUAGUGGAUAGCUAUUCAGAAUGAUGGGCAAGUCUGGUUGGUUAUUACGAUAUUGUUGUAUAAGUAUGUUUUGUAUGUAAUGAAAUGUUGUCGAUGAAUCGAAAUGGAUAUACUGUGUCAAAGUGUUAGGAGAUCUCUCUUAUUUGGAAUUUCUGAAUGUUAAGCCUAAUUUAUAAUGAUAUGAACUUGUGGUGAAUAGUUGGAGUUCUGAUUGUAUAAAUUAUUUAGCUUGUGGAUUUAUAAAUAUUGUUCAUGUUUGUCAA